rnacentral:lncRNA from 1 species
GGGUGGGUAUUUUCUAAGAAGUUUCUUAAGUCUCUCUCAUGACUUGUGAAUUUGUUCCCCUUGAAGCUGAGCAAAUCUAGUGAUGGCUUGCCUCAUGGUGUUGGUUCGACCUAUGGGAUAGAAAUUCUUAAGAAACUCAUACUGCAUUUCAGCCCAAGUUCGAAUUGGUCUCCCUAUGUGCCAAGCCAGUACUUGGCUUUAUCCUUAAGUGAA